GUGUCAGCCGCCGCGGUAAUACAGGGGGGGCAAGCGUUGUUCGGAAUUACUGGGCGUAAAGGGCUCGUAGGCGGCCAACUAAGUCCGACGUGAAAUCCCAAAGCUUAACUUUGGAACUGCGUCGGAUACUGGAUGGCUUGAAUUCGGGAGAGGGAUGCAGAAUUCCAGGUGUAGCGGUGAAAUGCGUAGAUAUCUGGAGGAAUACCGGUGGCGAAGGCGGCAUCCUGGACCGACAUUGACGCUGAGGAGCGAAAGCUAGGGGAGCAAACGGGAUUAGAAACCCCCGUAGUCC
rnacentral:rRNA from 1 species